GGAUUUUACUAGGUGAAGAUUCCUUUGUCAGCUGCUCUUGGAGCCUGUACUCCAGCACCAGCUCCACUGAAGUUUAUUAUAGGAAACACUGGCAUUUGUCAUUUUUCCAAUAUUUGGAGCUUGCUGCCUUAAUAAAUGCACAUAUCAGAUGAUGCUCUCUCCCUGUCUGAUGGGCGGAUGCUGUUGGGCAGAAGAAGGUCACAGUGAUGUUAAAUUUGCUGCUGAGCAAAGGAUCAAAGUGUAAAUGGAAUCCUGAAAGCUGGGAAAUGAUUCCAAAGCACAGAGGCAACAAUCCUAAACACUUGAGGUCUUUGGACGGAAGUGGUGCUUCAGAACUUUCAAGAACCAUGGCUCUGCUGCCCUGGUAGGAACUUUAUAUUGAGAAGACACAAAGCAUCUGUUACAUAAACAGGGUGAAUAGCUACAGGGUUCCCAGAUUGUGAAGGAAGCAGCGAACCCGCUUCCUCCUCACUAGCCAGCGUAACUGACAGCACUUAGCUCCCUGCAUCCUUGCUGCCUCGGUUCUGAAGGGAAGCAUUGUGGUGCGGCCUUCCUGACACUGAGGUGCUGACAACAGGCAGACCUAGGCAAGGAGUGUCAUCAGGAAGAGAGCAGAGGAAGGAAGCCUGGUGCUGUGAGAAUGAAGAUAAUAAAGGCAAUUAUUAAUACUUCUAUAGUGUUGUU
rnacentral:lncRNA from 1 species